CGAGCGUGUAUGGCGUCUGGCUUCAGAACCUCACUGUGACUUCAGAUAAGAACAAAGAUUAAAUUAUAAGAAGGGUUGCUUAUAAAAGCAUACAGUACAUCUGAAACUGCUGAGACUGGUAAGGUUUUUGACUAUAUUUCCAACCAGGUACAUUGUUCUGUCAUUCUUAAAUAGAAAACAAAUCAUCAAUCAUCAUUUGCCUUUUUUGUGUGUGUGCGUGUGAGAAAUAUUAACAUUUGUUGUUUUUCAAAUCAGCUGCUAUAGAAGACAAAAUGAAAUCUGAGUGCAGAGACAUGCAAAGGAAUACUGCAAGACACUACUGACUAGGCUGUGCCCAGGUCUCCGGAACCUGCGACGACGCUCAGCUCCGUUGGCCCUUAGUCUGCGGCUUCGGAUCCACCAGCUCUGUCUCCAUUGGUCGGCCCCCAGAUGUCGGCAGUCACACCAUCUACAUCUUGGCUCCUCCCUCCCUUGACUCCGCCGUGUGUUGUCAGCACUGGGAUGCUCUGGGUCUGUGCCAUGUGCCAAACACCAUCUAAGCCGCCAGGGCAUCAUCGUCAUCCUCUCAUCACCAUCCCUACACCAUCUCCUUGUCCACCUCCAAAACCCCUCCAUCCCUCCCUAUUCUGUUGCUUGAACUUUAUCAUCUUCAGUCUUUGCAUACACAUCUAUUCACUUUACAUGUUUUUUUUUUUCUUCAGAAAAUUGCAUUGUAAUUUUUA